rnacentral:rRNA from 1 species
ACGCUCGACACCUACGGGGGCAGCAGUAGGGAAUCUUCCACAAUGGACGCAAGUCUGAUGGAGCAACGCCGCGUGAGUGAAGAAGGUUUUCGGAUCGUAAAGCUCUGUUGUUGGUGAAGAAGGAUAGAGGUAGUAACUGGCCUUUAUUUGACGGUAAUCAACCAGAAAGUCACGGCUAACUACGUGCCAACAGCCGCGGUAAUCUGAGCGGGCGUGGCAAGGC